rnacentral:rRNA from 1 species
UACGGGGGGGGUAAGCGUUGUUCGGAAUUACUGGGCGUAAAGGGCUCGUAGGCGGCCAACUAAGUCGGACGUGAAAUCCCUCAGCUUAACUGGGGAACUGCGUCUGAUACUGGAUGGCUUGGAUUUGGGAGAGGGAUGCGGAAUUCCAGGUGUAGCGGUGAAAUGCGUAGAUAUCUGGAGGAACACCGGUGGCGAAGGCGGCAUCCUGGACCAACAUUGACGCUGAGGAGCGAAAGCCAGGGGAGCAAAAGGG